CCUACGGGAGGCAGCAGUAAGGAAUAUUGGUCAAUGGACGAAAGUCUGAACCAGCCAUGCCGCGUGAAGGAUGAAGGCCCUCUGGGUUGUAAACUUCUUUUAUCUGGGACGAAAAAAGGGAAUUCUUUCUCACUUGACGGUACCAGAGGAAUAAGCACCGGCUAACUCCGUGCCAGCAGCCGCGGUAAUACGGAGGGUGCAAGCGUUAUCCGGAUUUACUGGGUUUAAAGGGAGCGUAGGUGGGCAGGUAAGUCAGUGGUGAAAUCUCCGGGCUUAACCCGGAAACUGCCAUUGAUACUAUCUGUCUUGAAUAUUCUGGAGGUAAGCGGAAUAUGUCAUGUAGCGGUGAAAUGCUUAGAUAUGACAUAGAACACCAAUUGCGAAGGCAGCUUACUACGGGAUUAUUGACACUGAGGCUCGAAAGCGUGGGGAUCAAACAGGAUUAGAUACCCUGGUAGUCCACGCCCUAACGAUGGAUACUCGACAUCAGCGAUACACUGUUGGUGUCUGAGCGAAAGCAUUAAGUAUCCCACCUGGGAAGUACGAUCGCAAGAUUGAAACUUAAUGAAUUGACGG
rnacentral:rRNA from 1 species